rfam:Duck coronavirus isolate DK/GD/27/2014, complete genome.
GGGUACGGGGUAGCAGUGAGGCUCGGCUGAUACCCCUGUCUGACGGAAAUCAACCUCAUAUUGUAAAACGAGCCUUUG